rnacentral:rRNA from 1 species
GUCUGUUUGAAGGUAUAAGGAGUCUGAUCUGCCCACUGAAAUAUUUAAGGGCCGCGGUAAUCUGACCGUGCAAAGGUAGCAUAAUCGUUAGUUUUUUAAUUGGAAUCUUGUAUGAAUGAUUGGACAAGGGGGGUACUGUCUCUGUGUUUAUUUUUGAAUUUAACUUUUAAGUGAAAAGGCUUAAAUGAUUUAAAAAGACGAUAAGACCCUAUAAAGCUUAAUAAGUUAAAUUAGUUGACUGAAUUAAAUAAAUAAUAGUUAAUUAAUUAAUCAUAUUUUGUUGGGGCGACAAUGGUAAAAUGUUUAUCAACUACUAAAUUUUUAUGACAAAUAUUAAUGAAUACAGUAGAAUUAAAUGAUCCUAGGAUAAGAUUUAAAGAUGAAGUUACUUUAGGGAUAACAGCGUUAUUUUUUUUGAGAGUUCUUAUCGAAAAAAAAGUUUGCGACCUCGAUGUUGAAUUAAAAUGUCUAUUCAAUUGCAGAAGUUGAAAUAGUAGGUCUGUUCGACCUUUAAAAUUUU